GGAUGUGAGGGCGAUCUGGCUGCGACAUCUGUCAGAUGAUCGCUGGGGUUGAUUGGGCUGAGCUGGCUGGGUAGGCGGAUGUCCCCUUCCUCCCACACCACCCCCUGUGAGUCCUUCUGAAGAGGAGGACCAUUUCCUCAGUCAAGGGUAUACGAGUAGCUAUGCUCCCGUGCUAGAACCUCCAAACAAGCUGUCAAGAUUUUUCUGUUCCUCAAUGAAGGAAAGCAUGUUUGGUCCUGUUAUAUACAUAUUUAGGAAAUAU
rnacentral:snRNA from 1 species